GAUCAUGGCUCAGGACGAACGCUGGCGGCGUGCCUAAUACAUGCAAGUUGAACGCUUCUUUCUUAUCGAACUUCGGUUCACCAAGAAAGAAGAGUAGCGAACGGGUGAGUAACACGUGGGUAACCUGCCCAUCAGUGGGGGAUAACACUUGGAAACAGGUGCUAAUACCGCAUAAUACUUUUUCUCUCAUGAGUGAAAGUUGAAAGGCGCUUUUGCGUCACUGAUGGAUGGACCCGCGGUGCA
rnacentral:rRNA from 1 species